GUUAUGUAAGCAGUUCUACUAUUCGCAUUUCACGUCAGUACCAUCGGCCACAGGGUUAAAAGUGCACAGGAGCAAGAGGAAAUGUUCACUCACAAUACUCGGACCUCGGUGUGCGCCAAUAAUGGCCCAUGCGUCAGCAGCCGAACGCCAUGAGUGUAAGAGUCUCCUUGCCCCUGUGCAUUUUUAAGCUUCUGGCCGACGGUACUAACAUGAAUGGUGAAUAGUAUAUAGGUAGUGUUCAAUACAACAGGUCAAAGUAGGUAUGGAGAGGGUAACUUUUGGUGAAGGAAGUGUCAUUGGAGUGCCCGUGGGCACCAAUUUAGUUACUUUUAGUACUUAUUUUUACCUACCUAUGUACUGAACACUACAUAGAGCUAUUCAGGACUUAUUACAUGCCAGACCCACUCUGCCAUACAAUUCGCCGCUUUCGUUUGGAGUCGCGAUUACGCAGUUAAGAGAGCAAAGCGGCAAUUAGAACAGCCACACGCUCCACCUCGGUUCUUCCCGGAAACAUAGUAGCCGAGCCUCCACUUCCCCAGGAUUUGGUAAACAUAAAAAGCCGCCGCUACGUAGAAACGAGAUUCGACGUCAAUUUAUUGACACGAGCAUCCUGAGUGGGAAAGUCCCCUUGCCUCUGUGACUUUUUAGCUUGAGAGAUUGACUCAGGACGUGAGAGGUGCACUGUAUGUGCAUACGUCAAAUGUACGACAGUUGGAAAACAUUCCUAC